GUCUACAGUCGUACCACCAUGAAUGCACCCAGUCUCGGCUGAUCUCAGAAGCUAAGCAGGGUUGGGCCUGGUAGAUACUGAAUGGGAGAGUUGCUACUGAAAUCUAGUAGGUAGAGG
rnacentral:rRNA from 1 species